UGACUGUGUGUGUGUGUGUAUGUAUAAAAUUCAUCAUAUAGAAAUUUAAUUAUCUAGCAUAUCUCAGAUAUAUUUUGGGGGGACAUAGUUGGUUUAACCAAAAGAGGUCAAUUUGUAAAAUCAGAAUGACCAUUAUUUUAGAAGGUGGAGUCAAACUGCCAAAUAAACUGGGUAUUUAUUUGCAUUCUCUGUGGACAGAUCUUAGGGAGAGCAAAUGAUAAGCGAAGUAGCAUGGGGAGCAGCAACUAGAGUGAACAGAGGGAGCUGGAGAAUCCCAGUGGCUGAUAUUAUCAAGCCAUGAUCACCGGAGGCAUAUAUCUCCACACAAGUGACUCGACAUGCACCUGCUACUUGAAGAGGAUUCUGUUGCUCUGCUAAGCAGCGUAGGUACCCAGUUUGCAACCACGGUAUUAGGGCGCCUCUGUAGGAUCACUCACUCUCCUGAGCCACUGCCCUUGUUGGGUCGUUCUCUCUGUUCCUAGUAUUCAGGUCCAAGGCCUGAACAGGGUAUCUAUCGCCUGUUGACCUCCUGUGUGCAUUGGCCCCAGCUACCCAAGAGGUGGUUACCCCCAUGCAAUAGAAUGAAUUUGCUGCAAAGAAGGCAACUCGGCCCAAGCCUUGGGGAAAACCCACGGCAGAAAAGUGAGAGGACGAGAAGAAGCCUCUUCAGAAUGGGGUUCCUAUUUGCUCCUUUCUUUCUUUAAAAAAAUUUUUUUUUCUUUUUUUCUUUAACAAGGUUUCCCACUUUCAGGGCUGACAAUCCGCUUCCGAAGCAGAGCCCCUGAAGUCAAGUCCCGAGCAGACGUGCCCGCGCGCCCUGGCUGAGUCUGUGAGAACCUCGCACACACUCCCAUUGUGACACGGGCGCGACCUCGACCGUCCCCCCCGCGGAAGCUGGGCAUAGACUCAAACCCAAAGUAUUCUCGGUCCACGUUUACAGAUGUUAGCCCGUGUUCCAUUUUUAACUGUGACGUAGGCACGUGCACUGGUUGCCCAGGAGACACGAAUCUGGGCAAACGCGGCAGAAAAGUGCCGGAGGAAGGGCAGAUGUGUUUCCCGGAGGUCCUGCUCACGCACAGCCUCCGAGCUCCCCGUCAGUGCCCUCCCCCAGCCGCAGAGCCCCAGGUACAACUCAAAAUGUAAGUAGAAUAUAAGUUCUGUGAUGAAAAUAAGUGUUAACACGAAGUGCUGUGAGUCAAAGGCAGGAUGUGAGUAUUUAGCUUCAAACUGAAUUCAAGCUUUCCUUACCUCUUUCCACUCCAGUAUCACUGAAAUUAAAACAUAUUAUCCUUCAAUUUGCAGAUAUCUGAGCAAACUUCCUUAUAAGAUUCUAAUGUUUAAACCAAAAAUGGAGUUUUGGAGCCCAUAAAGCUGAGAGCUACCCUGUGGACCUUGGAGAGCCACUCUAUAAAGCUCUGUUUGAAUGGUCUGUUGAUCUCUCCUGGACAUCUCUAUUUUAUUCUCUCUCUAAACUCAACACUGUCUUUAUUAUCUUUAUUGCAAAUCUGAACUGUGCUGCUGUGCCAAGACCCUGUCAAGUUAUACUCUAGAUUGACUUUUCUUAGUCUGCUUGUAUAAACUUUGAAAAAUGGAGAACAAAAUCUUCCUCUCACUUUUCCUUGUUGUUUCGUUCCUUAUAGGAUAGAUAAAUUACAGUGUUACACACAUUGAAGAUUCUUGAUAAGCUGAGCUAUAGGAAAAUAAUUUUUGGUAUCAUUCCCAGAAUCAGCAACAACAAAAAUUUACUUUUACAUAUGACUGGUACAAAUGGUCAUAGUGGAAUGCAUAAAGAGGCUUCAGGGAAUGGGAAGAGAGAUCCUGUGAACAAUUCUCCAACCUAGAGGAUACGAAUGUUGUAUGUGCAUUGCUCUGGAAAAAGGGUCGCUAGCAAUUAAAUAGUUAAACCUUGAGUGAACACAGGCAGCAGCUGGAAGAAGUGUUUAUAGUACAAGGCAGGAAGCCCGAGAGUCAGUGACUUCUGCUGGCAGGAAAGAGUAGAAGGCGGAGGGAGAGCAGAGCAGGGCAUCAGAUUUUUAGUUGUUCUCGGCCUGGAAGACUUUCUUUCAAAAUUUGAAGCCAGAUAUGGGCCAGAAAACUUCUCCUAUUGUUGCACAAAGGAUGAAAAGGUGCUGAGUGCACAUGGAAUGAAGCCAAAGUCGGGAGAUACAGGCAUUGUGACUAGAAUACAUUUGGAACUUCCACCCUUUGAAUGAAACUACAUGAGAGUAAGAACUGAGAUGCUUAGACAUCUAGGAAUACUGUUGAGAAAGCCUCCUUAAAUAAUGAACACCUAACAUUUAUCGACCCAUUUUAACACACCAAGAACACCUAACAUUCAUCUACCCAUUUUAACAUACCAAGAAUUAUGUUGUUUAAUAUUUGUUGUCCCAUUUAAAUCUCGAGAACCCAAUGAGGAAAGUCCCUGUUUUAGAAAUUAUUCCUUAUUUUAUAAAUGAGUAAACUGAGGCUUCAUAGGUUAAAUCAUUUGCUAAAAGUAUAAAUUUAAAGUUUGACCCUGUCACAGUACA
rnacentral:lncRNA from 1 species